UAGCAAUGAGCGGGAGAGAGCCAGUCCGCUGGCCGCCGAAGGAGCAACUGCCCCGGAAACUCUCAGGCACCAAGGACCGCUUCAUUGUC
rnacentral:ncRNA from 2 species